rnacentral:snoRNA from 1 species
AUGACCUUCCUUGACCAAGAUUUGUUCUAUAGGUUGUAUAACUGUGUCCUUUGAGUUCUAAGGAUACAAGAACUAAAGUUUGGUGGAUGAACCACUGCCUUGUGGCUAGAGCAUGAUUAAUGGUUCAACGGACCCUAGGUCCAGUGGCUGUAGAGGAUCAUUCUUGGCAAUUUUGUACUGUUGGGAUGGUCACAUGGCGGUCUGACAGACC